rnacentral:rRNA from 1 species
GACGAACGCUGGCGGCGUGCCUAAUACAUGCAAGUAGAACGCUUAAGGAGGAGCUUGCUUCUCUGGAUGAGUUGCGAACGGGUGAGUAACGCGUAGGUAACCUGCCUGGUAGCGGGGGAUAACUAUUGGAAACGAUAGCUAAUACCGCAUAAGAGUAGAUGUUGCAUGACAUUUGCUUAAAAGGUGCAAUUGCAUCACUACCAGAUGGACCUGCGUUGUAUUAGCUAGUUGGUGAGGUAACGGCUCACCAAGGCAACGAUACAUAGCCGACCUGAGAGGGUGAUCGGACACACUGGGACUGAGACAAGGCCCUGACUCAUACGGGAGGCAGCAGUAGGGAAUCUUCGGCAAUGGACGGAAGUCUGACCGAGCAACGCCGCGUGAGUGAAGAAGGUUUUCGGAUCGUAAAGCUCUGUUGUAAGAGAAGAACGAGUGUGAGAGUGGAAAGUUCAAACUGUGACGGUAUCUUACCAGAAAGGGACGGCUAACUACGUG